rfam:Deinococcus deserti VCD115 plasmid 2, complete sequence.
CUGAUGGGGAGCGCGAAGAGCCCUGUUCUGUAUUCGGGCACCUGGGACAGGGGGAGCUAGUGGUGCGACCGGCUUUUCGUCUG